rnacentral:lncRNA from 12 species
AAAGAAUUUGUCUCAGAUUUGUAAAGGAAAACAGUCUACAUGGAAGAGCUACCCCUUUUGGGGAAGGGAAGUUUCAGGGAAGUUUCAGGGAAGUUUCAGGGAAGGGAAGUUUCAGGGAAGUUUCAGGGAAGGUACAGGGAAGUUUCAGGGAAGUUUCAGGGAAGGGAAGUUUCAGGGAAGUUUCAGGGAAGGUACAGGGAAGUUUCAGGGAAGUUUCAGGGAAGGGAAGUUUCAGGGAAGUUUCAGGGAAGGUACAGGGAAGUUUCAGGGAAGUUUCAGGGAAGGGAAGUUUCAGGGAAGUUUCAGGGAAGGUACAGGGAAGUUUCAGGGAAGUUUCAGGGAAGGGAAGUUUCAGGGAAGUUUCAGGGAAGGUACAGGGAAGUUUCAGGGAAGUUUCAGGGAAGGGAAGUUUCAGGGAAGUUUCAGGGAAGGUACAGGGAAGUUUCAGGGAAGUUUCAGGGAAGGGAAGUUUCAGGGAAGUUUCAGGGAAGGUACAGGGAAGUUUCAGGGAAGUUUCAGGGAAGGGAAGUUUCAGGGAAGUUUCAGGGAAGGUACAGGGAAGUUUCAGGGAAGUUUCAGGGAAGGGAAGUUUCAGGGAAGUUUCAGGGAAGGUACAGGGAAGUUUCAGGGAAGUUUCAGGGAAGGGAAGUUUCAGGGAAGUUUCAGGGAAGGUACAGGGAAGUUUCAGGGAAGUUUCAGGGAAGGGGAAAGGAAGGGAAAGGAAGGGAAAGGAAGGGAAAGGAAGGGAAAGGAAGGGAAAGGAAGGGAAAGGAAGGGAAAGGAAGGGAAAGGAAGGGAAAGGAAGGGAAAGGAAGGGAAAGGAAGGGAAAGGAAGGGAAAGGAAGGGAAAGGAAGGGAAAGGAAGGGAAAGGAAGGGAAAGGAAGGGAAAGGAAGGGAAAGGAAGGGAAAGGAAGGGAAAGGAAGGGAAAGGAAGGGAAAGGAAGGGAAAGGAAGGGAAAGGAAGGGAAAGGAAGGGAAAGGAAGGGAAAGGAAGGGAAAGGAAGGGAAAAGGAACACAUGUAGUUUUUAUUAGGUUUACCAUCUGCCAGUGCA